rnacentral:lncRNA from 1 species
UGCAGACGUGAAUGAUAGGGAUAAUCGCCGUAAGGACAUACCGCUGAGUGGUAGCCAAAAGCCGCACCGUAAGGUUCGAUCUGCAACGAUAAACUAGUCAGGAAACUUUGUUCCCAUUUAUCGAGGUCACGCUCUCAAUUUUGAUAAUGAAAGAAGUACGGAUGUGCAAAUUACUUUUGCAAAUUAUCUUUGGCGACGUUAAAUGAAUAUAGUACAAUUGUGCAAAAUUAUGACAUCGACACGUCAUCAAAAUCUACACAGAUAAGAUCAAAAACAAAUAUUCCUCUGCUACAUAACGACGAAGCUCACGAAUGCAGGUUUACUUCUCGUUAUCUUUCUAUCGUUGCUUUCAAUCGUUAGCAUCUGCGAGUUAAUGUAUACUCCACACCGAAUUACAUCACCAAUAUCAUUGCGGCAGGAAUUAUGUGUCAGCUACCCACUCAUCGGAGACGUCACCGAUCCUACGAUAAUGUAAAGCUCACACAACUUGCUGCUCUCCUUCUCUUCUAUUUUUCUCUUUUCUUUUAUAGACAUCUAUUUCCUUUGAAUCAUAAUAAUAUUGCGCCUUCUUUUUAUCCUCCUCUCUUUUUCCAUUCCAAUUUAUACAAAAACUUGCACAAAUUUUCACAAUUUUUAAUAUAAUAAUACCUCGCAUCAUCUAAAAUCUAUUCGAAACUUUUACAGCGAUAAUGAAUCGGAAGCUGAACUCGCUAUCCUCUUGUUCAUUCAGUGUCACACGGAUCUACCGAGCCGCGGCGAACGUCAUCCAACGCGCCUUAGAGACGACGUCCAUAAUACUUCCUCACGUGUGUCAUACGAGCUAUAAUAUAGACUGUCAUGCGAAGGAGCGAGCCGGCCGGCGAAGCGAUAGAGCAAUAUAUUUUUCCCCCUCUAUUUAACACCACACGCGUGUCGGCUGGCUCUCUUUCGGGAGCUCUUCGAUGCGACAUGCGUAUUUCAAUUGGCCGUUCAGGACGCGCAUCCUCUGGCGCAGACGGAAGGACGAUCGGAGAAGGGACACGCAAGUCGAUCACGUUGAUGUCUCCACGCAACUACUUUUUUUUUUUCAACUCCGUCGCGCGCCUCCACGACUACAUUCCCGAGAAAUUUAUUCUUUUUGAAGGUCAAACCAAGAAAGUUUAAAAGUCCUCGAAACUUAACGAGAUUCAGUUCCGGAAGUCUUUUUUUCAUGUCGCUGUGAAAACCAUUGUACAAUAUUCAAUACUUAUUUUACUAACCAUCGUAAAACAUAUUAGGUCGCAUUACAGGCAACAAAGUUGCUAAUGGUUUACUUAUCUACAGUUUUAUGCGGUUGUACGGUCGUUCAAGGAUUAACGAUAAGUACGUGACGAUAAAAACGCGGCUGGUACCAUCGUAAAACUUGACGCUUCUCUCCGUUUUGAUUUAUGUUUUCUAUGAGUAUCGACAUAAAUAUAAUUUUAUAUAGUCAUCAUUAUCAUCUUAAAUCGUAAACUAGAUUCUGGACAUUGAUCUCUUCGAAACAAAAAGAAAUAAAUAGCAUCAACGUCGAGCGAACUAUCUUUUUUUAUUAGAUCUGUUUUUACAGGGCUUUGACUAGAUCGAGUCUCAAGUACACAUAAAACUCGUUCGCGUCGUAACAACGGCAUUCCAAGUUGGAGAACUCGUUCCGACGUCAUCGCUAAAGAAAAAAAUGAAAUAAAAUAAAAUUUCUACAGCUUUUUCUAAAUCGUGGCCGGCUCGGAAAACUUUUGAGCGCCUCGUCAAUACAAAGGGGAUGUAUGCUUCAUGCACCCCACGCUGAUAAUGUUAGCGUGACGCGUAUAACCAGGCGACAGAACCCUUUCGCAGAGAGAAAAGAGGCUCUUUCAUAAUUUACCGGUCCACUUACAGGUAUCUUCUUUGUAGUUCUGCGUUAUAUAAGCUAGCUUAGUUAGUGUACGUAGUGCAACCUUGUGCUACCCCACCUGGCGUCCAAGAGAGUCUGGCGUCGUUUCUUUGAGUAGUACUUUCUACCGAACGUAAUAUAGUUUCCGAAGAGAGGAGAGGAGGAUCUCUUUCGAUCGCACGCUCGUCUCGAAGGAUUACUUACGAAAAUGUCCAAUAUUACGUCAUGCUCCAUAUUGACAUUCUCAGAAACGUACAAAUGUAUAAUUAAUUAGAAAACGAUCUCUAAAUGUCGUGCCACGUCCAACGUUAAUUAACCGAUAAUGAACAAUGGACGAUGAUAACGAAAAAGAUAUAGCAGCCGUUUUCUUUGUUAUGACAACGACACGUGCAGCGAUGUGAACGAUGAAUGCUAUGUCUAUAGAUAGAUCUUUACAGCAAAACGUAUGCCUUUGCUGUGUCGGCGAUAUCUACGUCCGGGUAUAUAAGGGUCAUCGACAUAUUCUCCUUUGCGAAUAUCGAUGAAAUCCGGACAAGAUCGGCCGGCUCUCGAAGAAAUCGUCGGCUCGCUCUCUUCCUGGAAGCUCUACCGUCCGCUUUGCUUAUCAUUCCUUGAUGACGGUGAUCAGACCAUUAUCCUUCGCAUGGAAUCCUGCCAGGAGAUCUGCGCUAUGUUCGCGGGAAUCACGGUGAACCUACGAUUCCAUCCAGGCGUCAUCAGCUCAUCUGGAUGACUUUCGCGUUUACUUGGAUCGCACAUCGAAAAAUUCACUUCCAAUUGAGCAAACGUGUCAAAUCUUCUAAUCACUGAAGUACUAUUUCCACCACUCAAAACUCAACUAAUUAUAUAAUAUUUACAAAUUAAAAAAAAAUGACAAGAUUUGAUAUUUAAUUUUCAUUAAUCUCCAUUGAUUCUUCAUUUUAGCGUUUAACUCCGAGAUGAUAUUCCUAUUUAUAAAUUAGGAGACGUAGUAGAUUUAUGUUAUCGAUAAUCCAUCACGUCGUACUUCGGACUGUCCCGUCUGUAUAAUCCGCCGUAUGUAAUUUCAUGUCCACGACGAUGAUGCGGCGACGUUAAUGCAUCGCGCGCAACGCGACGCGACAGACCGAUGCGUCGAAGCCGGUGUGCAGCACGCGAGUGUGAUCGGCGCAUCGAGGUACAACAUAGCAGCGCCACGUGGUACGCCGAGGUCGUUACCGUGGGGGCUGUCGUCGUUAGAACUCCCCCUGGAUCAACGACGACGGCGAGGUGAGGGCGGCGACGACCUACACCCAUCAACGUCAGCGAAUCCUCUUCGCGGACUGGAUACUCGACUAAAGAAGAAGAAGGACAUGAAGAAAUAAAAUAC